UGGGGCUGUCCUAGAGGCGGUGGCGGAAAGCAAGGAAGCAGGGGUUCGGCGAGGCCCUGCCCUACAGGGCUUGGCAGGGGCCCCUGAGCAGCGUCCUUCACUGGAUCCCCCGUUCUCUGGCCGCACGUUGGGCGCCACUUGUCCCGGCCCGCGGCUAUCCAACAAAGCCAUGAAACCUUCAGAAUUGCUUCACCACAUGGAAUCCCAGCACCCCACAACUAAAGACAAGACUUUGGAGUUUUUCAAAAGAGAAAAAAAAACACAUGAACAUGAAGAACAGAGACAAUCACUGAAGGCCACCACUUCAUCAAAUGUGUUUUUGCACUGAGGGCAUCAUUCUUAGUGGCUAACUGCAUCGCUAAAGCUAAGAAGCCCUUUCCUAUUGGUGAAGAGUUGAUCCAGCCUGCUGCUAAGGACAUUUGUCAUGAACUUCUAGGUGCAGCCACAGUUCCUAAGGCAGCAUGUCUUUCCCAUU
ensembl:lncRNA